UACGUAGGGUGCGAGCGUUAAUCGGAAUUACUGGGCGUAAAGCGUGCGCAGGCGGUUUUGUAAGCCAGAUGUGAAAUCCCCGGGCUCAACCUGGGAAUGGCAUUUGGGACUGCAAGGCUGGAGUGCGGCAGAGGGUAGUGGAAUUCCCGGUGUAGCAGUGGAAAUGCGUAGAGAUCGGGAGGAACACCAGUGGCGAAGGCGGCUACCUGGACCAGCACUGACACUGAAGCACGAAAGCGUGGGGAGCAAACAGGG
rnacentral:rRNA from 1 species